rnacentral:rRNA from 1 species
AUGCUUGUCUCAAAAGACUAAGCCAUGCAUGUCUAAGUAUAAACACCUUUAUACUGCGAAACUGCGAACGGCUCAUUAUAUCAGUUAUAAUCUACUUGAUCGUAUCCUCUUACUUGGAUAACCGUAGUAAUUCUAGAGCUAAUACAUGCAAAAGAUCCCGACUGGUGACGGAAGGGAUGUAUUUAUUAGGUACAAAAUCAAUGCUGGCUUCACGGCCAGUUGAAUUGAUGAUUCAUAAUAACUAAACGAAGCGCAGGCCUCGCGUCGGCGCUGAUACAAACGAGUUUCUGCCCUAUCAACUUUCGAUGGUAGUAUAGGGGACUACCAUGGUCGUAACGGGUAACGGGGAAUUAGGGUUCUAUUCCGGAGAGGGAGCCUGAGAAAUGGCUACCACUUCCAAGGAAGGCAGCGAGGCGCGCAAAUUACCCAAUCCUGAUUCGGGGAGGUAGUGACAA